UCACACCUAGCAAGAAACUUAGCAAAUAGCUCCAUUAAUUUAUUCUUUUCCAGCCUUAUCCACCGGUUCCCCUUGUUUGCUAUUUUGGUUCUUUAGUUAAAAAAUAGAGAAGUUAGAGGAGAAGGAGAGCUGGAGAAGGUGGUAUUCUCGAUCAGAAAUUAAAAAAAAAAAAUUCAGCUAGGAAAAAGGUGAUCUAUUAAUAACCUG
rnacentral:lncRNA from 1 species